AUACGUAGGGUGCGAGCGUUGUCCGGAAUUACUGGGCGUAAAGAGCUCGUAGGUGGUUUGUCGCGUCGUCUGUGAAAUUCCGGGGCUUAACUCCGGGCGUGCAGGCGAUACGGGCAUAACUUGAGUACUGUAGGGGAGACUGGAAUUCCUGGUGUAGCGGUGAAAUGCGCAGAUAUCAGGAGGAACACCGGUGGCGAAGGCGGGUCUCGGGGCAGUAACUGACGCUGAGGAGCGAAAGCAUGGGUAGCGAACAGGAUUAGAUACCCUGGUGGUCCAUGCCGUAAACGGUGGGCGCUAGGUGUAGGGGUCUUCCACGACUUCUGUGCCGAAGCUAACGCAUUAAGCGCCCCGCCUGGGGAGUACGGCCGCAAGGCUAAAACUCAAAUGAAUGGACGGGG
rnacentral:rRNA from 1 species